GUGAUGCUAAGGCAAUGUAAAUGAACUGAUAACAGACAAUUGGACCCCCCGCUUGGGUGUUCAUCCCAGUUUUGUUAAGCUUCUACAAAAACUACAAGUCCCAAAAUGCCUUUCACAAGCACUAGACUGUCAAGUUCACACGUGCUCAAUGUGGCAGGAGCCUGUUUUCCAUAGGUUAGUGGCUAGGUUAAAUAAAGUGGAGCAUGCUGCCCCACCCCAAAAGCAAGCAUCCGGAUUGGAGUUUGAGCCUAGCCUCAGGGUGAAGCCGGAAUUUACCUUUGUACUUUAAGCAGUCAGCAGUUACCUGAGUAGAUGUGGAACUGACUGCCAUCCUGACGUCUCAGAGCCGCAAGCAGGUUUGAAUCCAGGAUCCUUGUGACCCUUCUGUGCCCACCCAUUCCUUACUCUUUCACUCCCGGGACCUUCCCCAGGUUACUAUGUCUCAUAAUUCUUGCUGCCUCCAGGGUCUCCUGUUUAGUCAUAGGACUUACUACCCAACUAUGGGGGUAAAAUUUCACUUUUGAUGAUCCCUUAGAAAUACGCAGUACUGUUUUCUGGCAAGCAGAAAAUCCUGGGAAGUAUGAAACAAACCCCCCCCCCCCCGGUAUUACUGCCUGAGGGUAGGUGCUAAGAAUCAGAGCUGAUGUGGGGAGAUAGCAUCAGUCACCAAAUAGGCUUUACUAGCUGCCCUGCCUUCUGUAGGUCCUGGACAGCUACCAUGACCUCUCAGCCUCUUAGGCUGGCAGAAGAAUCUGACACAAGUCCUGGGGAGUCUGAACUGGCUGUGAACCCCUUUGAUGGGCUCCCCUUCUCUUCUCGCUACUACAAGCUGCUUGAGCAGCGCAGAGGCUUGCCCAUCUGGGCUGUUCGCUUCAUCUUCUUGGAGCAUUUGGAGAGUAGCCCCACUGGAGUGGUCCUGGUAUCCGGGGAACCUGGCUCUGGCAAGAGCACCCAGAUCCCUCAAUGGUGUGCAGAAUUUGCCCUGGCCAGGGGAUUCCAGAAUGGCCAGGUUACUGUCACCCAGCCCUACCCUCUGGCAGCCCUGAGCCUGGCUUUGCGGGUUGCUGAUGAGAUGGACCUGACCGUGGGUCAUGAGGUUGGAUAUAGCAUCCCGCAGGAGGACUGCACAGGACCCAACACUCUGCUCAGGUUCUGCUGGGACAGGUUGCUCCUGCAGGAACUGGCCUCAACCCGGGGCACUGGAGCCUGGGGUGUGCUGGUGUUGGAUGAGACUCAGGAGCGGUCCGUGGCCUCAGAUUCACUCCAGGGACUGCUCCGAGAUACCACACUGGGAGACCUUCCAGGGGACCCUCGAGUGGUUGUGAUUACUGACCCAGCCCUUGAGCCUAAGCUCCGAGACUUCUGGGGCAAUCCUCCCACUGUGCGUGUACCCAGGGCACCUGGCAGGAGUCCCACCCCUGUCUACAGAGACACUGUUCCUACUGAUCGGGUGGAAGCUGCCUGCCAAGCCGUGCUUGAGCUGUGUUGGAAGGAGGCUCCAGGCGAUGUGCUAGUGUACCUGCCCAGUGAGGAGGAAAUUUCCCUGUGCUGUGAAUCCUUGUCCAGGGAGGUGGGGACCCUGGCACUCCUAAGCCCUCGGCCCAGGGUGCUGCCCCUUCACCCAGGCUGUGGUCAAGCCAUUCAGGCCGUGUACGAGGACACAGGCCCGGGAGCCCGGAAGGUCGUGGUCACUCACUGGCUGGCUGACUUCUCCUUCUCCCUCCCUUCCAUCCGACAUGUCAUUGACUCAGGACUGGAGCUCCGAAGUGUUUACAGUCCCCGGAUCCGAGCAGAAUCCCAAGUCUUGAGAACAAUUAGCAAAUGUCAGGCAGAAGCAAGGCGACUUCGGGCAAGAGGGUUCCCUCCAGGAUCCUACCUCUGCCUGUAUCCAAAGACCGUCCUAGAACUAGAGGCUCCCCCACUGCCCCAACCCAGGGUAUGCGAAGAGAAUCUGAGCCCCCUGAUGUUACUACUAAAGAGGAGGCAGAUUGCUGAGCCAGGGCACUGCCGCUUCCUGGACCCCCCUGCUCCGGAAGCACUGAUGCAGGCCCUGGAGGACUUAGACUACCUGGCAGCCCUGGAUGACAAUGGGGAUCUGUCAGACCUGGGAGUCAUCUUAUCAGAGUUCCCCCUGAUGCCCGAGCUGGCCAAAGCCCUACUGGCCUCCUGCGAGUUUAACUGCGUGGAUGAGAUGCUCACCCUUGCCGCCAUGCUCACGGCUGCCCCUGGGUUUACUCGACCUCCACUGUGUGCUGAAGAAGCUGCCCUGCGUCGGGCCCUGGAACACGCAGAUGGUGACCACAGCUCUCUGAUCCAGGUUUAUGAAGCCUUUAUCCAAAAUGGAGAGAACGAAGCUUGGUGCCAGGCUCGAGGUCUAAAUUGGGCAGCAUUGUGCCACGCCCGUAAACUUCGGGGAGAGCUCCUAGAACUCAUGCAGCGAAUUGAACUUCCCUUGUCUCAACCAGCCUUUGGCUCUCAACAGAAUCGCAGAGACCUUCAGAAAGCACUGGUGUCAGGAUACUUCCUCAAAGUGGCCCGAGACACAGAUGGGACUGGAAACUAUCUGCUGUUAACCCACAAGCAUGUGGCCCAGCUAUCCUUGUACUGCUGCUACCAAAACCGCCGGGCUCCAGCCAGACCCCCACAGUGGGGCCAAAACUAAAGAUGGGGAGUUGGAGAGACAUAAGAAGAAGGGAUCUUACUCGGGAGGCUGAGGCAGGAGAAUCAUUGCAAGUUCGAGACCAGCCUGGGCUACAAAAUGAGCCCAAGGCCAGUCUGAACUGCAUAGUGAGACCCUGUCUCAAAAACACACAAAAAAGGCUGGUGGAGCUGGCCCCCCCAUACUUCCUGAGUAAUCUGCCUCCCAGUGAAAGCAGAGACCUCCUAAACCAGCUGAGGGAAGGAAUGGCAGAUUCAUCAGCAGAGAAAGAACCUUCCUCCACCCAGGAAUUCAGAGAUGCCUGUAUCCUGCAGUGACCUAAGGAAUUCUGCAGGAAUGGAGCCGAGCUCAUCUCACAUUCUGAGAGCCUUCAUCAGUCGGGUACUACGCAGCCAGCCAUAGUUAGAAACCCAAACUUUAGGGUCAGGUGCACAUCCUAGGACCUAAGUCCCAAGUAUCGGUGGAUUUGGACUGGUAGAGAUGGGGUAGGCCACCAUCUUAUAGGCUUAGCUUUCUCCUAUUUAUUGGUGAAGGAGGGACAUGCUUCCCUCACCAAGGAUGUGCCAAGCCCAUCUUUGUACUCCCUUUUGGUCCAUAAAAAGAUUUUCCCAUGA